UACGGAGGUGGCAAGCGUUGUUCGGAAUUACUGGACGUAAAGGGCGCGUAGGCGGCUAGGCAAGUCAGGUGUGAAAGCCCCGAGCUUAACUCGGGAAUUGCAUCUGAAACUGCUGUGCUUGAGUUCUGGAGGGGGUAGUGGAAUUCCCAGUGUAGCGGUGAAAUGCGUAGAUAUUGGGAGGAACACCUGCGGCGAAGGCGGCUACCUGGACAGAAACUGACGCUGAGGCGCGAAAGCUAGGGGAGCGAACGGG
rnacentral:rRNA from 1 species